rnacentral:ncRNA from 23 species
CUCUUAUCCAGAGUGGUGGAGGGAACGGCCCGACGAAGCCCGGCAACCGACGGAUCGCACGGUCCGCGCGGUGCCAAUUCCGGCAGCGGCGUUGCCGCUGAGAGAUGAGAG